CCGAAAUUUAAAACUCACAACGCGAGUCUCGUGCGGAAGCAAAUAUGACUGCCGAGACUUUGUGACUCUUCAAGUCUUCCUUUGCUCAAGUCAAACCACACUCGUGAAGCACAUGUGACGAGUCUGUGGUGAGCAUCGGGAGCACUGCGUUUCCUUCGGGAUUCACAGUCUAAAAAACGAAUUGUGAAAGUAUAUUAGUAUAUAUAACAAAAAAGACGAAAAAAU
rnacentral:misc_RNA from 1 species